rnacentral:rRNA from 1 species
AAGUCGAGGGGCAGCACGAUCUUCGGAUUGGUGGCGACCGGCGCACGGGUGCGUAACGCGUAUAGAACCUACCUUUUACAGAGGAUAGCCCAGAGAAUUUGGAUUAAUACCUCAUAGUAUUAUAGAUUGGCAUCGAUUUAUAAUUAAACAUUUAUGGGUAAGAGAUGGCUAUGCGUCCUAUUAGUUAGUUGGUAAGGUAACGGCUUACCAAGACAUCGAUAGGUAGGGGUCCUGAGAGGGAGAUCCCCCACACUGGUACUGAGACACGGACCAGACUCC